rnacentral:tRNA from 1 species
GCCGCUAUAGCUCAAUGGAAGAGCGCCGCCUUUCUAAGGCGGGCCAUCGCUGGUGACACCUCAAAAACAUCACUGUGCAUUUCACCACUGCAUAAAUCUAUUUUGAGGGUGCUGGUUCGAGUCCAGCUGGCGGCUGA